rnacentral:piRNA from 1 species
UGAUUUCAUGGGACAGACUAAAAGGUGAAC